rnacentral:sRNA from 1 species
AGGACGGCUGCUUCCGGCGCCAUAACUGCUGCCAUCUUUACGCUAUGGCUGCGUUCAGCCGUCAGCAGCCUCUUCUUAGAGCAUGACUGCAAAGAAAAAGACUUUUGUUUUGCAAAAGAAAAGCAGCUCGGUGACUCCCUCCACAUCGCCACAGUUGAGUCAGACAGCAGUGGCAGUCGUUUGCCAGCGGAAGGAGUUCCUGCUAAGGGGAGGUGCAGGAGAACUAAUUUAUUAUUGUGCAACUGCCAGUCCUGCACAUUCCAAUUAUGGUAAGUGCUCUGCACAGGCAUGUAACAAAACAUAGACCUGUUUUGAAGUGGCUUGUUACCCAAGGGUGCCUCACUCUCAUCUGCACCAACAGGAAGAUGAACUGUGAAGCCUCCUUUAAGGGGCAGGAGGAGCAAAGCUGUCCUAGGCCAACCAGAGAUUCAUCUUUCAUGCACAGUGACACGUUGAUAAGAAAUUAUAGUCAGUAUGAAACUGAUAACAGGCUGUAGAUGGCUUUCUAUGGUAUAUCCCAGUCUCUUGCAAACGAUUGUGAAGAAUGCCAGUAUUGUUUAAGAUUCAGCAGUUUGUGUGGGGAGGCGGGGGCAGGAUGGGGGUUUGGUUGCCUAAA